UGCAAGUCGAGCGGUAACAUUUCAAAAGCUUGCUUUUGAAGAUGACGAGCGGCGGACGGGUGAGUAAUGCCUGGGAAUUUGCCCAUUUGUGGGGGAUAACAGUUGGAAACGACUGCUAAUACCGCAUACGCCCUACGGGGGAAAGCAGGGGACCUUCGGGCCUUGCGCUGAUGGAUAAGCCCAGGUGGGAUUAGCUAGUAGGUGAGGUAAAGGCUCACCUAGGCGACGAUCCCUAGCUGGUCUGAGAGGAUGAUCAGCCACACUGGGACUGAGACACGGCCCAGACUCCUACGGGAGGCAGCAGUGGGGAAUAUUGCACAAUGGGGGAAACCCUGAUGCAGCCAUGCCGCGUGUGUGAAGAAGGCCUUCGGGUUGUAAAGCACUUUCAGCGAGGAGGAAAGGGUGUAAGUUAAUACCUUACAUCUGUGACGUUACUCGCAGAAGAAGCACCGGCUAACUCCGUGCCAGCAGCCGCGGUAAUACGGAGGGUGCGAGCGUUAAUCGGAAUUACUGGGCGUAAAGCGUGCGCAGGCGGUUUGU
rnacentral:rRNA from 1 species